UUUCAAUUCCAUAAGAAAAUAAACCAAAACCAGCGCCUCCUAGAACAAUUGCCUUAGGUCCUGAACGCACAGCCAAAGCUCCACCUGUAAAAACACCGGCGGCGAUGGCGUUAUAAAUAUCAGUUUUAGCACGAAAUGCCUCUAUACAGCAUUCUGAACCGGAAUAGAUUAAACCCAAUAAACCAAAAUUUUUGGCAGUAGAGAAUGAGCGGCUACCCAUAUCCCUUGCUUGAAUACGAAUUUGUUCACGAAAUGGCUUCUCAUAGAUCUUGGGAUCAAUGUGUUGCAAAUCCAGAGAGGAAAUGAACAUACCAAAUAUACCACCCAAGCCAAAACCUAGUACACCGGCCAUGCUACUUU